UUAACAUCCCUGGGACCAAAUUCAGCUCAUACCUACAUCUGCUGCUAAUCUGGCACUGCAACCGAAGGUCUGAACCAGUGCUCACUGCUGCAAAUUGAAUGGUUCAGUGAAGGUAUCAAUUAUCUGAAACAGUUUUUGACGACAAUAGAAGCCCAGUCUUUGGAAACAGGAACUGUUCCUACAAAUGGUCACCCAUAUAAACUUAUUUAUGAUGUUUGGAAAGAAAUCGAGAGUUAUUCGUCCACGGCACCUCUACUUCCUCGCAGCAGCUUGGAAGGACUGAGGGAGGUUGAGGAGAGUCUUGAUAAAGCACAGAACAUCUUGGCGUCAGGUGAGUUUCGUGUUUUUCUCAUUCUUAUAGUUUUCGGACCUGCUUUGUCAGUACUU